CACUAUGCUACUACUAAAAACUUUUUUAAACAAUAGGAAACUCUAAUUCUGUCAACUCCAAAUAAAAAAUAAGAUUCUAAUAACCUUAUUUCAUUCUCUCGUGCCGGUCGAUUUCUUUAGCAGUCGAGAGAAGAAAAAAUCUCUUCAAUUGCAGUCUGUGAUUCUUUAUCAAGUAGUCGAUUUAACUCAGAUCCAAUUUUGGAAGUCUCUACCUUUGCAUGUCAGCUCAAACUCACGAAGUUGAGAUCAUUGAAUAAGCUUUUCAUCGAUACCAAUUUCAUUGAAAUCUGAAUUCGAACGAGGGAGUUAUAGCUAUUUUACUCGGCGAUAUCGGAUCACCCAGGUCUGACGAUCGACCUGGCGGUCUGGGAGGAGUAUUUAGUACCAAGCAAAAAAUGUGGUAUUUCUUCAAAACUACGUGCCACCGUAGGAUUGAUAUUGAUAAUUCUGGGCCAGAGGCCGAGUAUGGGAUUAUGAUAACGAGAUUGAGGUUGUACUCCCUGGAAAGAGUAUGACACCCCCGGGGGUUCUCUU